GACGAACCGUGCGAACGUUGUUCGGAAUCACUGGGCUUAAAGGGCGCGUAGGCGGCUGCUCAAGUCCGGGGUGAAAGCCCCCAGCUCAACUGGGGAAGUGCCUUGGAUACUGAGCAGCUCGAGGGGGGUAGGGGCGGACGGAACUUCCGGUGGAGCGGUGAAAUGCGUUGAUAUCGGAAGGAACGCCGGUGGCGAAAGCGGUCCGCUGGGCCCUUACUGACGCUGAGGCGCGAAAGCCAGGGGAGCAAACGGG
rnacentral:rRNA from 1 species